rnacentral:rRNA from 1 species
AACGAACGCUGGCGGCAGGCUUAACACAUGCAAGUCGAACGCCCCGCAAGGGGAGUGGCAGACGGGUGAGUAACGCGUGGGAAUCUUCCCAGUUCUACGGCACAACAGAGGGUAACUUCUGAUAAUACCGUAUACGCCCUAAGGGGGAAAGAUUCAGCGGAAUUGGAUGAGGCCGCGUAAGAUUAGCUAGUUGGUGAGGUAAUGGCUCAGCAAGGGGACGAUCUUUAGCUGGUCUGAGAGGAUGAUCACCCACACUUGGACUGAGACACGGCCCAGACUCCUACGGGAGGCAGCAGUGGGUAAUAUUGGACAAUGGGCGCAAGCCUGAACCAGCCAUGCCGCGUGAGUGAUGAAGGCCUUAGGGUUGUAAAGCUCUGUCAGUAGGGAAGAUAAUGACGGUACCUACAGAAGGAGCCCCGGCUAACUUCGUGCCAGCCGCCGCGGUAACAC